rnacentral:rRNA from 1 species
CCUACGGGUGGCAGCAGUGAGGAAUAUUGGUCAAUGGACGAGAGCCUGAACCAGCCAAGUAGCGUGAAGGAUGACUGCCCUAUGGGUUGUAAACUUCUUUUAUAUGGGAAUAAAGUGUUCCACGUGUGGGAUUUUGUAUGUACCAUAUGAAUAAGGAUCGGCUAACUCCGUGCCAGCAGCCGCGGUAAUACGGAGGAUCCGAGCGUUAUCCGGAUUUAUUGGGUGUAAAGGGAGCGUAGGUGGAUUGUUAAGUCAGUCGUGAAAGUUUGGGGCUCAACCGUAAAAGUGCAGUUGAAACUGGCAGUCUUGAGUACAGUAGAGGUGGGCGGAAUUCGUGGUCUAGCGGUGAAAUGCUUAGAUAUCACGAAGAACGCCGAUUGCGAAGGCAGUUCACUGGACUGCAACUGACACUGAGGCUCGAAAGUGUGGGUAGCAAACAGGAUUAGAUACCCCUGUAGUC